UGAAGAAAAUAUAAUCUGAUUAAACAUUAUUCAGCUUUAAACAUUGUUCAGCUUUAAAGUUACUGUGCAAACUGUGUAAUAAAAAUGUGCUCACGACUUUGGCCUUGAGAGCGAUAAGAAGCGAUCGCCUCAUCCUGCAGGUGCAAGAUAUCUACACGCCGAAGAGGCUAGAUUUCCUUUUAUGGAGUUGUUUUUCUGCUAGUGCAGCACUUCCCCCUGUAAGUUUUAGAGAAUAUAUACCCAUCCUCACAGCAAAUCUUUGGAAUCUCCUGAUGUGAGCUGUUGUUGAGAGGUUGUCUCUGUCUCAAUAAAGUUCACUGAUUCCCCAUCUGCAGGUGUCGCUGUUGUCUUCAUUCUCCGCCAGCCUGGUUAAGUCAAUUCCUCCUUAACAUCUAAAAGAACCUAUUUAAUGAAGGAAGACGGGUUCACUCUGUGUUUAAUAUUAUUCUAUUGUUGUUGUUUUUUUUAUAUCCUUCAAUUGGCGUCACGAACAGGAUCCGGUCCAGGUCAACUGGAACGGACGGGAGGACAAUCGGCCGUGGUCUGAGUGAACAGAGUUUGGACAAAAAGUUGCGCGCACACAAAAACAAGGUAAGCAGACCUUUUAUUUCUGCUAUAUUGAACAUUAUAAAAUACUUAGUGUCCAAACUCCUAGUAAUUCAUAACCAAAAUUGUCUGGCUUACUUAAGGCUUGUUGAGAAUCAGACAAGUGAAUAAGAGAUAAGUGAAUAAGAGAUAAGUGAAUAAGAAAUAAGUGAAUAAGUGAAUAAAGAUAAGAGUGAACUGAGGUCUGACCACGGUUGCAGCCGACGGGUUGCUCUCCGGUGUCGGAUACAUACCUCAGUGCAGGUCUGGGACCUUGAAAGGGUUUAUUAGUAACGCCUUUCUAAACAAUUAAAAGGUUAAAGGCCUUGAGAAUAUUUUUUAGUAAUAUUCUCUAAACUACAGAAGGGUUAGGAAGGCCCAGAGGACUUUAUUAGAAAAGAUCCUCUAAAACUUAAAAAGGAAAAGUACUGGUUGGAGUCCAAAGGAGGGGUCCCUUUGAUCAAUAGGAGAAAAACGGAUCUCUUCUUAAAACCCCGAUGAUUUUAGUGUUUUAAAUGUUUUGAUGUUCUGUUUGAUAUUUGACACACAUAAAUACACGCUGAAUGCUUGCUGUGGAACACUGGGCAGGACAGUUUGGUUCUCCGUUGUUCACAGAUUACACAAUUAAAGGAACUAGGUUCCUCUUUUGGUUAAAAUAAUACACCACACAUAGAAUUUUUUUUACACAUUUAUUACAUACAUAAGGAGGGUAAUGAGUGACUGCAGGUAAUGUAUGAAGUGUGAAUGAGACGUGUGAACAAGGUGACAACCAACUAGCACCCCUAUCAGGAAGCAAUAGGCAAGGUUACCCGCCAGACUCCGGUUUGGUAGAAGCUUGGUAACACCUGAAGGGAUAUUUCAGUGCUGACUCACCUUUAAAGCAGCGCCCCAGCUGUUAGUGCCUAACAGAGGCAGAAACCCAGCUGGCCCAAAUUCUCCUUUAAAAUCAAUAAAACAGCUGAAAAAGUAUGAAAGAAAUGUUGGGUUUGAGUCCCUGGAUAUUGAGUUGAAGGCUCGGGUAGUUUGGUAGGGAAAUUAGGACAGAAACUGUUCCCAGAAGUAACAGAUACUGUUUGAUUGAUUACAAAAAGUUAUCUUUCUUCGGUGAGACCCGUUAUAUUAAAUUUGUCGAAAUUUGUUAGGUGCUGAAUCUGUCAGGCCUGUCAGUGGUUGUAAAUAUAAGACGUCUUUGUAAUAUAAAAUAAUAGAGUCUUGUCUGAGCUUUGUGUGACCCUGUGUGUAACGUGGAGCGGCGGCGCUGAGGGCUAUUUUUAGACUGUGUGUGAACAUGCAAAUGAGCUGUGAACUACACAGAGGACUUUUGCUUCCUGUUUAGUGUGUUUUGUGGGAUUUGCAAAUAAUGAUACAAGCUCGUAAUAAAAACGCUGGUUUUGUUGAUUAUAAUAGUAUAAAUAAGGAUUUGAAUGACUACGCUGAAUGUUUGAUGUUCGGCUGGAUUUUAAUAUAGAAGAGAUAGAUUGUGUUUGAGUAAGACCGGCACUUCAGUCGGCAGAGUGUGAUUGUGAUGAAAAUGAUAUUAAAUAAAUCUCUUAAGUGGGUUGAUACAGGUGGCUACGGGCCUGGACCACCCGGCCCCAUAAGCAAACAAAAAGUUAAGUUAACCCACCUACAAACGCACAUACACGCAAUGAAGAAACAGCUUACACCCAUGAACAGGUGAAGAUUUUCCAGCAAGUUUAAAGCAGCGAAGCUUAACAUACACCCGCCGUUAUCCACUACUAACGAAUAAACUCUCUGGAAAUCACUGAACAUGGGUCAGAAUUAUUCAAAGACCACAGACAGGUCCGAUAAAAAAUCUAAAUUACCUGUAAAGCCAAAAAUAAUAAAAUAAAAUAUAAAGUCUCAAAUAACGGCUCAGUGCGCCUCCCACUUCCGGUUACGUGUAACCUACGUCCGCGAAUCGGUGAAGACGUCCAUGAUCACAUAUCCAGAACAUGCGGAAGUACUUACGUGACUGACUUUGUUUACAACUUAAGAAGUUCAAUGCAUUCUAAUUAUUUCCGGAGCCCUUAUCCCGAACGAUAAUCGCCAGAAAACAGGUCAGUAAAACUGAAGGCCAGUGCAGAUACUACCACGAAAGCUAAAAGUGUUAAGAUAAAGUUGAAUUUUGAUGUAGAAGUCUCAGAGGAAAGUGAGAAACUAACGUAUGCAGGAUCAUCCGCUCCAGCACAGCGAGGAAGUUUCAGAGGACGGAGAGAUAAAAGUAGCGGAGCUCUUCCAGUCAAGGUAACUGGCAACCACAAGCUAGAGGUGCAAAUUUAGCUCAGUUUUCCAGCAGCCGCAGACACCCAGAGCAAAAAUGAAUUUUUGUAUUUCAUUUAACACAAAGGGUGAAAUGUUUGCUGACACUGAUAACAGCUUAUGUUUUCUCUGCCUUAUGCAUGAUGGAGAAUGAACAUCCUCUGUGUCAGCUGGACCCUCAGCAGAGAAUGAACUCAACAUCCUUUUUGUCCGGUACUCUAUGUCACACACUGUGACAAACCAGUGAAGAUAUGACAAAUUUAGGGGUUAGAAAAGUCAAAUUGUGACAAGUUUUCUGCCGAUUGAUAAAUAUAGGUGAUUACUGAAUGGAAGAAAAGGGAAAGAAUGAGGGGAGUAGUGGUAACUGAGGAAUAAUUUGGCAGAAUAGAAAGAGGGAGAAGCCAACUCAGCAGCAGCAGGUGCAGAUGUGAUGAGCAGGGGGAGACACAGAAAGGAAGCAGAUAAGCACGCAGGCCGCAAAGCUAAAUUUAAUCACUGGGUGUGUUUAUGGGAAACUGCGAAACCACCCACAUUUUUGUUUCUCUCACACUGAUUCAACCACAUGAUAACUGCUCACACAAGUGAAGGUCAAACAAUGGUUUUGCCAGCUGAAUACCAGAAUAUGACAUUAUGGUCAAAAAUGAGAAUGAUAUAGGAUUUAUUGACUGUACACUUUAUCACACACACCUAUUAAAACACAACAAGCCAGUAUAUGUCAAGCAAUGUCCCAUUUCUGCCGAAAAAGCCGCAGCCCUAGAUGUCAUGAUAGGAGAUUUAUUGACUAUAGGAGUAAUAAAGCCCACACUCCUGUCAAUCCUGUGCCAAAGCCUAACAAACCUGGCGUAUGGCGUUUCAUAAAAGAGUUAAGGCAAAUUAAUGCAGUCAACAUUGCUCUGCCACCUCUCGUUUCAGAUGUUCACAGCAUAUUGACAUGCAUUACAUGACACAUUUUACUCGUGGUGGAUUUAUGCUCUGCCUUUUUCUCAGUACCUGUGCAUGAAGACACACAGCCGUUAUUUGCAUUCACACAUAGAAAUAAGCAGUACACUUGGACUCUUUGCCCCAAGACAUGAUAGACAGCCCUGCUGCUUUCUCAAUGGUGGUCCGUGCUACCCUGGACAGCUUCACUCCUCCAGGGCUGUACGGGAUGACCUCCUGCUCUGUGCUGAAAGUGAAAAAAACUAUGUCAAACUGCUACACACAUGCUUCUCCAGCACCUCCAACAGACUGGCCACAAAGCAUCAGCAAAGAAAAUGCAGUACUGUCAGACUUUGUUCAAUAUUUGGGAUUCACACUGUCUCACGGAAAACGUUCCAUGACUGCAGACAGGGUCAAAGCUGUGACCUCUGUCCCUCGGCCCACUACACAGAAGGAAAGUUGUCCUUAUUAGGCAUGGUGAACUAUUGCAGACAGUGGAUACCAGACUGUUCUUUUCAUGACCACAUUCUGCGUGACUGUUGUAAAAAAAGACAAGCCUCCUCGAAUACUGUGGUCCAGAGAAGAUGACUGCCUCUUUAAAUGCAUUAAAGGGAGUGCUGACCUCCCCCACUCAAAGGUGCUGCCUGUGGGAAUGCCGGCCUGUCUGAGAGGGGUAGCAGCUUGCGCUAUCAUGAUAAGGGACUGCGAGAAGCUUACACUCUCACAUGACACUAUUCUACACACCAAUCACCAGGUCACGACCAUUGUAGCGGACAUAACCACACAACAUAUGCAAAUCUCACUAUAAAAGCGAGCAGCACACAUGAUUCGCCAGGACAUUUAUUGAUACAUUGCUGUGUUCUUCUGACCGACGGGAUGGCUCAGACAGGCUUGACGAUCAUGACUGCAUGACAUGUAUAAAGGAAUCCAAAGGAAUCACGUCCAGAUUUAGAGCUCAUUUACAUUUAGAGGCCAACAAUGGCGUUACACUCGCCUAACACAGGAACUCGAUUUUGCACCAUCCAAAACCUGUAAAUGUAAAAGACAUGUUGUGAUUUUUGGGUCUGACUGGUUACAGCAGGACCUAUGUCCCAGACUAUGUUGCCCUUACCUCCCCUCUGCGCGUUUUGGUAAAUGAACAAGGCAUGAGAAACCUAUCUGCUCCCCUAUCAUGGACUACAGAAGCAGAACAGGCGUUUAUACAGUUAAAACAACAGCUUUCUGUCGCCUCUGACCUUGCUGUGCCAGAUUACACUUGCCUUUUGAUCUUGAUGUUUCUGGAACUGGAACCCAUGUCAAUGGUAUCCUGUUCCAGAAAAAAGGGGGAGAGAGAAGAAGAAAAGUGUAUACAUAUGUAAGUGCAAUGAAGAAAGUGAGAAGAAAGUGAGAAGAAAGGAGAGCGGCAAAGCAGAGAAAUGAAGGAUGACGAUGAGAAGAGGGCGAGUGGAAAAAGCUGGGUGUUGGAGCUAAGCUAUAAAACCAGGAGGGGGGAAACAGAGUGAUAGGAAGGGAGGAGUGAGGCAAGGCUGCAGAAGAGGUGUGAAGACUCAUCUUUUUCUGGAUGGGUGUGAGUUAAGGCCGGAGCAGAGAGAGGCCUGGGAGCACAGCAUAGCCUAGUGGUAAUAAACCAGGAAACCCCAGUAGAGAAACAGACAACAUCAGCUAUAAGGAAGCUAUAAAGUGUUUUUAAAAUCAAAAUAUAGUCUUCAGUCUGAGCUUGAUAUCUUUAAAGUUGAUUGCUAGCUAGUUUACUCUUAUAGGGAAAUCGGUUAAAAGGGACCGUUUCAGAAAUUUUAGAAGUCAUGUUUGUUUUUGUACAUGUUAUGAGAUAUUUAAUUCAUAAUAAUACACAUAUCAAGGGAAAUUCCAGUCCCCUUGACAUAUUUUGUUUUAAAUUGUAUAAAACAGUAUUGUGUCCAUAGCAUAAAAUGUAGCGUACGGUAAAGGAAACAGUUGGGUAAUCAAUUGAAUCUAAAUAGGUUUGAAACAUAAGUUUGGCUCAGUUUACCACCCCCAAUCCCAGGGGAAAGUGGAAAGGAUGAAUCAAACUCUAAAAACUAAAUUGGCUAAAAUCUGUGCACAGACCAAAUUAGAUUGGGUUAAGGCAUUGCCUCUUGCAUUAAUGUCCAUAAGAUGCUCAGUAAAUCAAACCUCUGGUUACACUCCAUUUGAGUUGGAGCAUGGCAGGCCUUUUCCUGGCCCCUCCUCUCGCCUGUUAAUGUCGGAUGAAGCUGAUUCAGACCUCGAUCCGAGGACAUAUUAUAACAUGCUCCGCAGUUUUGUUGCCCAGUAUUCCUCACAGGUCGCGGAAAGAAACCAGCAAGAGCUGAAAGAGGAGGCUGCACCUGGAGUGGACUACGUCCUCCUGAAAGUCACAAAGAGAAAGUGGGCUGAGCCUCGCUGGACAGGCCCUUACCGCAUAACAGAGCGGACCUCCCACGCUGUCAGGCUCGAAGGGAAAGGUGACACCUGGUUUCAUUACACACAGUGCGCUGCUGCCACCGAACCAGGAAGAACUUUGAGAGAGGUGCAGAAGGACCUGUCAGAAGGAGCUGCAACAGCAUCACCAACCACUUGAGGGAGCCAAAACUCAACCUACAAGCCGGCUGGUUACAAAAGGGGGUGUUCUUCAUACUGAACUAAACAUUUUUAUUUUUCUAUUUUUAACAUCUUUUAUGAUUUUGCUUUUAUAUUGGCUUGAGUUGUUAAGAUUUACAUUUUACAUUGCAAUAGUUUUAAUCGCUGAAAGCUCAUUUAAAGUUGUGUCACUGAUACUUUUUGUUGCUCUUUAACUCCUAGAACACGCCCUUGGCGAGGUGGGGGGAACUGGACCACGUUUCUGUGCCCCAUCAUCUUCUAUUAGAAGACUUACAAGCUAAGUAAACAUGUCUUGGCCCUUUCCCCUGAAAUGACAGGCAGGCAAAGAUGUUCUGUUGUAUUCCAUGCAUUCGAUCCCUCUUCCAGAGACUGAUUGUUACAGCUCUCACUCCGGAGGAUAAGGAUCUCGCCCUGCAGAUGCCUUUAUUGGCUAGUCAACUUCCCACCUCCUCGCCAACGGAUGAUGAAGACUCUGAUCGUGAUGAUGACGAACAUUAUCGUCUUUCUCUUGUUUAAAUGCUUCUAGAAUGGUUGUUUCUCUGUGGUGUUUUGUAUUAGGCUUGUUAUUAAUUGUUUCCCUCACCCACUUCCUCUUGAAGGAUAUAUCUGGUUGAACUGUGUCUGGUCGGGUUGUGAGGGUUAAGCGAUGUUCUCAGGGUCUCCGGACUUAAGCCUGAGCGAAUGUGUACUCCCACCACUGGAUAUAAAUUGUUUUUUUCCACACCCCUUCCUCACGUUUUACCAUAUUUACUUUUUGAAUGUCCUUAGCAGUUACCGUUCUGGGUUUAUUUUACUGUUGAUUUAUUCUUUCACAUUUUCACGUUUAUAUCUCUCAUUAUUAUAGUAUACUCUGUACUCUCCACAUUUUUAUCAUUACUUAUGCUUUUUGGUUGCUGGGUUACAUGAACUGUUAAUUUUGUGUCACUACCCUGGUUGCACUGACUCGUUGUAUCCUUGUGUGCAGGACAGCUGUUACUGCUUUCGUCUGGAACCGAGACUGCUUGCAGCCGACCCCUGGGCAGGGUGGUGCCUGGACUCUUUUCUCCUCAUCUGCAAUGACAGAUAAAGACAAAUGAUAAGACCCGAGGAGUUUUUCGAGCCAGGCUUCGACACGUCUCUGUGUUCCUUUGAAUGUUACUUAUUUUUGUGUGUUGACCCAUUUUAAGAUGGGUCAAAAGGGGGAUUUGAAGAAAAUAUAAUCUGAUUAAACAUUAUUCAGCUUUAAACAUUGUUCAGCUUUAAAGUUACUGUGCAACUGUGUAAUAAAAAUGUGCUCACGACUUUGGCCUUGAGAGCGAUAAGAAGCGAUCGCCUCAUCCUGCAGGUGCAAGAUAUCUACACGCCGAAGAGGCUAGAACACCCAAGGCCGAUUUCCUUUUAUGGAGUUGUUUUUCUGCUAGUGCAGCACUUCCUCCUGUAGUUUUAGAGAAUAUAUACCCAUCCUCACAGCAAAUCUUUGGAAUCUCCUGAUGUGAGCUGUUGUUGAGAGGUUGUCUCUGUCUCAAUAAAGUUCACUGAUUCCCCA